GACGUAGGGCGCGAGCGUUGUCCGGAUUUAUUGGGCGUAAAGAGCUCGUAGGCGGUUUGUCGCGUCGGCCGUGAAAACUUGGGGCUUAACCCCAAGCUUGCGGUCGAUACGGGCAGACUUGAGUUCGGCAGGGGAGACUGGAAUUCCUGGUGUAGCGGUGAAAUGCGCAGAUAUCAGGAGGAACACCGGUGGCGAAGGCGGGUCUCUGGGCCGAUACUGACGCUGAGGAGCGAAAGCGUGGGGAGCGAACAGG
rnacentral:rRNA from 1 species